rnacentral:lncRNA from 1 species
UCAACAAUUGAUUGACAAUAUUUCUAUUCUUCGACAAUAAGUAGUAUUCAAAGUAUUACAGUAUUUAUUUUUCUUUGUUAACAGGGAAAGAGAAGGCAAGCAUUUGCAGAGCUCGGUUUUCAAAGAAUAUUAAAAAUCGCUCGCACUAGAAUCCGCAUAGAAAUGAAUGAGACUCCGCCGAUUCUAAGCGCCGGUUUAUUGGGAAUGAUGGAAGAUUCGCUCUGAGGACAGGUAUAUAACAUUAAGUCAAGUCAAGCACCAUGGAAGCUACAAUGUUUUUCAGUUUCAGGACAACGACGCAAGACAACGCAUUGACAUCGAAUUCAACCCGUGGAGCACCAUAAAGGUUCUGGUCACUUACUAUUUGAAUCUCCCAAUGUAACAGGACGUGAAUCACGUAGACCAUAUCAUCCGAUCAACUAUGUUGCUUAUAGAGCAUAGCUCUAUAAGCUCCAGUUGAUUAAAUCAUUAAUGUAAACAUUAAUGAACAUGGGUCCAGGAAUGGAGCUUUUAGACAUGCUUUGGUUUACAGUAAAUUAGUCUGUAUAAUUGUAAUGACAUAUUCUGCAUAGGGCUUUCUAUAAAUUAUGGCUUUUAUAUGAUAUAUGGUUGGUAUAAAAGAUCUCUAUCUGCAGAGGACACGACGACUGACAUUUGGGUGUUUAAAGACCUUCGGGGAUUUAGGUUUGAUGAGAUAAAGUAAGAUUUGAUAGUCAAAAUAAGGCUUGAUGGAAAAGACUAAAGCGAUUUCCCAAAGGGAUCUCUCUCUGGAGAACAUUCUAUGGAAAACUCGCUCCAAUUUAAGUGUAAGACACGUACCAGGAAACU